UACGGAGGGUGCAAGCGUUAUCCGGAUUCACUGGGUUUAAAGGGUGCGUAGGAGGGCAGGUAAGUCAGUGGUGAAAUCUCCAAGCUUAACUUGGAAACUGCCGUUGAUACUAUCUGUCUUGAAUACCGUGGAGGUGAGCGGAAUAUGUCAUGUAGCGGUGAAAUGCUUAGAUAUGACAUAGAACACCAAUUGCGAAGGCAGCUCACUACGCGAAUAUUGACACUGAGGCACGAAAGCGUGGGGAUCAAACAGG
rnacentral:rRNA from 1 species